AGCAAGAGCCCGGAGAUGGAUUCUGAGACAUGAAUCCAGGCCCUACGGGGCGCAGCAGGCGCGAAAACUUUACAAUGCGGGAAACCGUGAUAAGGGGACACCGAGUGCCAGCAUCAUAUGUUGGCUGUCCAGAUGUGUAAAAUACAUCUGUUAGCAAGGGCGGGCAAGACCGGUGCCAGCCGCCGCGGUAACACCGGCGGCCCGAGUGGUGAUCGUGAUUAUUGGGUCUAAAGGGUCCGUAGCCGGUUUGGUCAGUCCUCCGGGAAAUCUGACGGCUCAACCGUUAGGCUUUCGGUGGAUACUGCCAGACUUGGAACCGGGAGAGGUAAGAGGUACUACAGGGGUAGGAGUGAAAUCUUGUAAUCCCUGUGAGACCACCUGUGGCGAAGGCGUCUUACCAGAACGGGUUCGACGGUGAGGGACGAAAGCUGGGGGCACGAACCGGAUUAGAUACCCGGGUAGUCCCAGCCGUAAACGAUGCUCGCUAGGUGUCAGGCAUGGCGCGACCGUGUCUGGUGCCGCAGGGAAGCCGUGAAGCGAGCCACCUGGGAAGUACGGCCGCAAGGCUGAAACUUAA
rnacentral:rRNA from 1 species